rnacentral:lncRNA from 1 species
CGAUUAGGUGAAAUUUCCUUAUAUCCUAGCAUUCAAUUUUAUGCAUGAUAAUUAAGCGUGCACUCUCAACCAACACACACAAAUCAAUGUAAUCCACAUAGAUAAGUAAAUUGAAUUCACAACUUAUGAAACGCAAUUAGAAGUAAUCAAAUCAUAAUGCAAGCAUAAACAUGUAUUUCGAAUCCCCCCCUAGCCAAGGGGGGGUUUAGUUCCUCAUAUGCACAAAACAAAGAGAAUUGAAUUUAAACAUUGAAAUCAAAGGAAAAGAAACAC